rnacentral:misc_RNA from 1 species
AAGGAUCAUUAAAAAUAUAUUGAAUAUAUGGUUUUUUUUAAAACCAUAUAUUUUUCUGUGAUUUACGUAUACGUUCACUUUGGCAGGCUUUGGGUUGUUGUUGUUAUAAUAAUAGCUCAACUUUCUCUAAUCUCUUUCUCGAGAGAGAUUGUGAAAGCGGUCUGCCAGAGGUUAUCUCAAAUCACAUGUUUAAAUUUUCGUCUGAAAAAUUCUCUCAUUCGAGAGGAAAUAAAAACAAAUUUAAAAUACAACUUUCAACAACGGAUCUCUUGGCUCUC